rnacentral:rRNA from 1 species
AGGACGAACGCUGGCGGCGUGCUUAACACAUGCAAGUCGAGCGGAAAGGCCCUUCGGGGUACUCGAGCGGCGAACGGGUGAGUAACACGUGAGUAACCUGCCCCUAGCUCUGGGAUAGCUCCGGGAAACCGGGAUUAAUACCGGAUAUGACCACUUUAGACAUCUGCUGUGGUGGAAAGAAUUUCGGCUAGGGAUGAGCUCGCGGCCUAUCAGCUUGUUGGUGGGGUAACGGCCUACCAAGGCGACGACGGGUA